rnacentral:lncRNA from 1 species
CUCUUAUAAUAUCAUCUGUAUGGUACUGUGGCAUGUUAUGCAUAUAUGCCCAUCAUCAUUUGCCACUGUAUGUAAUUUAUUAUCUUUCUUUCUCUAAUGAUUUGGAUUUAAAAGUCUAUUUAAGUCUACUGCCGGCCCUGUGAUGGUUAUUGAUCUUCUGAUGUUGCCUGUACAACCUUUAAUGCCCUAAAGUAGAGCCUGAGAGUAGAGUCACACCAGCACGCUCCACUGGGCCCUGUGAAAGGAUGCCAGCAAGUGAAAACAAUUCUGAUUUUUAAGCAUGACGAUACAUGACGAUGCCAAAAUUACCACUGCCUGAUGUUAGCUGGGGUCUGUGGAAACUGUGUCACGGUGAAUGUGGGCUGCAUCAAAGGCUUCUGCAGUGGCAAAGUGCCACCCGUAACAAAGGGAGCCUUAUGGCUGGGCCCGACGGUCUAACGUGUACCACUACCCCCCCGACCCCCGUCAGCCAUCAGCACAUCAGAGCGGAGAGGAAAGGCUGGACCUCAUCUCACCUCUCAAAGAGCUUCAUGACCCUGUUGCUCCCAGCUGCAUUCACGCCGCCUGACACCAAGUUCAAACACAAAGGCAUUCUCUUCUGUCUACAAGACCCAUUUAACACAUGAGUGGCGGCGGACUCGCGAGGGGGGUGAAGGUUCAUAAAAUUGAUGUACCUCGACAUCAGCUGACCUCUGUCAGAUAGUUCGGUCUGCUGAGGCUUUCUCUGUCACAUGUAGUAAGCUUCCUGCUCCGACUGAACUGAGGUAUUAUCUUUUUUUUUAAUAAAACAUCAUUGCUAAUGCAAUUCAAUUUAGGUCCCCCAAAAUUCAUUGCACUGAGAAGCCAUUUUGUGUAUUCAAGACCUGUGAAUAUCAAACCCACUGAUCAUAUGUUUGAGCGGAGCAAGGCAUCAAUUUCAUUGCAGGAAAAUUUGUAUGGAGGGGUUUUUAAAGUGGAUAGAUUUUAUAAUGUAG